rnacentral:rRNA from 1 species
GACGAACGCUGGCGGCGUGCCUAAUACAUGCAAGUAGAACGCUGAAGGAGGAGCUUGCUUCUCUGGAUGAGUUGCGAACGGGUGAGUAACGCGUAGGUAACCUGCCUGGUAGCGGGGGAUAACUAUUGGAAACGAUAGCUAAUACCGCAUAAGAGUAGAUGUUGCAUGACAUUUGCUUAAAAGGUGCAAUUGCAUCACUACCAGAUGGACCUGCGUUGUAUUAGCUAGUUGGUGAGGUAACGGCUCACCAAGGCAACGAUACAUAGCCGACCUGAGAGGGUGAUCGGCCACACUGGGACUUAGACACGGCCCAGACUCCUACGGGAGGCAGCAGUAGGGAAUCUUCGGCAAUGGACGGAAGUCUGACCGAGCAACGCCGCGUGAGUGAAGAAGGUUUUCGGAUCGUAAAGCUCUGUUGUAAGAGAAGAACGAGUGUGAGAGUGGAAAGUUCACACUGUGACGGUAUCUUACCAGAAAGGGACGGCUAACUACGUG